AUUAACUUACUACGGAACGCCGUUUCUGCCUUACGUUAUGUCGAUACAUCUUUAUGUUAUUGGUAACAUCAUUAUGUUAUGUGGUAACAUCAUUACGUUAUGUCGAUAUUUCUUUAUGUUAUGUGGUUAUAUCAUUAUGCUAUGUGGUUACAUCAUUACGUUAUGUCGAUACAUCUUUAUGUUAUGUGGUAACAUCAUUAUGUUAUGAUAAACUUUCAAGUGAUCGAGAUUAAUAUAGAUGGAAAAUAGCGCGCUAAAAUUCACAAAUUCAAACAGACUGUUUCCAGGAUUACUUUUAAAAUGAAAUUGGGUUAGGGAUGGUGACUGAUUUGUGCCAUUUUGGAAUUUGUCGUCUUUUCGCUAUUUCGAGGUGAAAAGACGACAAAACGAUAAUUAGCGACUUUUCGCCUCUAAAAAAAAAACACCGAAAGACAACAAAAUACAUGUACAGGUUUCCCCGUUAUUUUGUCUGUCUGACUUUAUAGGAAUUCAAUAUGAAAUUUGCUGAUGGUUGUGGAUAAUCAUUAAUUACACAUACAAAGAAGGAAACAUUUAGAAUUAAAUUAUGGUGCUCAGAUAAUUGUAUUAGAACUACUGAAGAAAUCUUUUUGUGUGAAUGUUAUGUACCAGGCACGUUAAAACAGGGGGUUAGGGUGGGCAGGUUGCCUGGUCUAUCCCCUUUUUCUAAUUUACUUUUUCGUUAUUUUUAACACACAAAUCCCAUAUUUUCUACAUGCAAAGUUCGAUUGAUUUGCUGCCUCCUCCCCAUUUUUAAAGUAGUAAUGAAAGGCAGUUGAUGUUUGAAGUGCUGAAUUGAUUGAUGAAUUACAUAUAUUGUUUAACGUCCCUCUCGAGAAUAUUUUACUGAAUAUGGAAACGUCACCAUUGUUGGUGAAGAGCUGCAAAAUUUAGGCCUAUGCUCGGCGCUUACGGCCUAUGAGCAUGGAGGGAUCUUUUUCGUGCCACACCUGCUGUGACACGGGACCUCGGAUUUUGCUGUGUCAUCCGAAGGACUGUCCCAUUAUGACAAGCAAGGGCUACUGAGUACCUAUUCUAACCCGGAUCCCCACGGGAAGUGCUGAAUUUAAGAAUACGUGUAGUGAACUAAUCUUUGCCCCCCCCCCCCCUUCCUACGAUUUAUAAGAUAAUGAGAUUUGGACAGAAGUACUUUAUUGAUUGUUAACAAUUUUAAUGCAAGUGCAAAGUGAACCCCGGCCGACCCUUCCCCUACUUUAAAAAACAAUGCUACGUGCCUGUAUAUCACGAUAUCAAGAAGGAAUUGUUAAACGUAGAGUUUCGUGCAAUUUGAGAGACUUUUAGUACUUUACAAUUGAAUAUUUUUAUGUCCAAACCCAAACUAUUAUUUUUUUUUGGAAAAUGUCUAAUUUAAUCCAAAUAUGAACACCGAUGUCACUCUUGUAAGUUUCCACUAUAUUGUAAAUACAUUUUGUUUUAAAUAGUUGAAAUUCAUGAAUGCUUGUAAGCAAACACUUAGUGAUCAAUGUUCUUUCCUCCUGUCGAAUGACAUUGUACAUCGAAAUAGGAUCUCUCUCUCUCUCUCUCUCUCUCUCUCUCUCUCUCUCUCUCUCUCUCUCAUGUAUGUACAUGCAAAGUGACGGUAAAUAAUUGUCAAUCCCGAAGAGACAAGAAAGUUUGAAAGCUGCACUAUAUUCCCUCUCAUAUACAUGUAUAUAUUUUUUUGUGUAAUCAAAUGUCUAUUUUGGAUUGUGCAUGUCAUACCCGAUUACCCGCAUGUUCACCCCCAAAAUGUAUGUUAUCGAUUAUUAAUCUUUCUUUAUCCAAAUAGAUGCACUGUGUACAUGUGCGUGCAUGAUCAGAAACUGCAAAAAACCUUGAGCGGUCAAGCAUUGAAUAAUGGAAAAAUAUUCGACUUUGAUAUUUCCCGAUUCAACUGGAGACAUCCUUAUUGGCAGGGUUCAAUUACAGGCACCUGAAGUAUGGACACUACCACUCAUCUACACCCCCCCCCCCACACCCACACACCCACACACACUUCUUAUUUUUCUUUGCAGCGAUAAUAUCUCCGAAAUCUGUGGACUCCCUGUCUAUCCCAUUUGUAAUCUUUUCACACUUUUUGCAAGUUUCUACCGUUGUUUUAUCAUACCGGUAUAGAACGCCAAUCUCUAAAGCUUACAAAAAGCGUGAAACGAUUACAUAAAUCGAAAUUGGGAUGGGAUAGACAGGGAAUUCACACAUUUCGGAGAAAUCAUCACCGCAAAAAAAAAAAAAGAAAUCAGAAAGGAGGGCGGGAGGUAAUAGUGUCCAUACUUCAGAUCCCUGUGGGUUCAGUGUGUCGCAGUCUGUAUAAUGGAAUCACAACUGUCGAGAUAAAAAUGGAGUUUAUGAUUUUGUUUCGUACAUUUAUCAGCAGAACGAGCAUCUAACAUUUUGAAAGAACACAUACAUAUAAAUAGCUGUCCGCAUUUAUGCGUUUUCUAGGUAAGCAUGCUAUGUGCAUUACUUAUGUGUAUGUACUGUAUUUUGCAAGCAUUGAAUGUGUUGUAUGUAUACGAUGCUCUUUGUGUAUUUCAUUCUAUCAGUAUGCAAUAGUUUCCGCCGCGAGAAUUUUUGUCGCUAGGUGGCGCGCGUGUAGUAGCGGGUAUCAACAACGUGUAGGCGUUAGCUCAGUGUUAUUAUAGUGUCGUCCAGUUACGAGUUUACAAUGCCACAGUAUUGUUGUGUGCCAGGAUGCACGGGAUUUGGAGGACACAAAUUCCCCAGAGAUCAAUACGCUGCAAAAAGGUGGAGGAUCGCCAUCAAACGAAUUGAUCCCAAAACAAAACAACUAUGGAAACCUGGACCUAUUGAUGUUGUAUGCAAAGCACACUUUCUUUCGUCCGACUAUAAAAGCACACUAUUAGUGAUAUGGAUAGAAAACCAGUGAGUAAAAAACUACAAAAGCUACCAAAGGAUUUUCGACCAUUGCUUUUGUCGGAAGCUAUUCUCCCAGACUGCAAUUUACAAGAAUUACGCGAAGUGGACAUCGAUCUUUCCUCUGCCGCAACUAUAUUUCUUACAAGUCCUGCAUUCAUCCAUGGAAUUCUAAGAAUUGUUUGCAAAGAAAGAGCGAUUGCUAAAGAAGAAAUCCCAAAUGAAGAAGUCGUUAAAAUACAUCAGAGACUUGCGAGUAUCAGUAUCAAGAUUGUAGAAAAUCUUGAAACUGUGUACAUAUACGAGGGUAAAGUCAUUUACCGUGAAUCAAGGUUUUCAUAUAACAAAUUCAAUGUAAACAAUGAAUAUUUACAAUGCACCAUUUAUUUUAGAAAAUAUAUGGAAACUACCGAUGUUUGAGAUUGGAUCCAAUUUCGUGCUUACAAAAUUGCCGGCAUAAUUCAGAGGUUUAUAGACUGCCAGUUGCCUAACACAUCAACACUAAUUCCAGUGAUGUGUAAAUAUAUUCGUAAUCCAAAUGAAAUUGAAAUGUUACUUAAUCAGAAUAAUAUACCUCGUCUGGAUACAAAAUUCAUAGCAACAAGCAACAAAUUACCGAGACCAGGAACACUUGUGGAAGAUGCAUACACAAGAGCGGAAAAGGCAAUAGAGUUGGCCUCUGCGAUCGUUGACAGGGUUGACGAACUUAUUUAACAAAAAACUUUGGAAAAGGAAUGUGGUCAAUUCAGUGCUGCUUGUAGAGAUGGAUUUUAUAUAUAAUGUUAUAUCAUAAAAUCAUGUGGAACGUAUUACACUUUAAAUAUCAAUGAACAAAACUCCUAUCUUCCUGUAUAAGACAAACUGAUAUUUGCAUAUUGUGUAUUUGUUUCUUUCAUCUUAAUGUUAUUAUGUUUUAUAAUGUGUAAUGAUUGGAUUAGGUAUCAUGCCAGCUUUAUUUUUGUAGUGCCCAUCUACUGUAUAUAAUAUAACAUGUAUUCCCAAUUGUGAUCUAUGUCUUUUUUCUUUUGUUGCUGAUAAAAAUUAUUUUUUGAUAUGUUUUACAGUUAUAGGUGCAGUGUCAAUUGUUGUCAUCCUUUAUCUGACUGUGAAAAUAAUUGAAUUACUAUAUCGUGAAUUGGUGCAUUGAUAUUGUGUACAAAUUAUACGAUACGCUUUGAAUUCAUAUUAAUCUAUUACGCUAUGAAAUAUGUCGAGCAAUUCUGUUGUUAUUUUUCAGAAUCGUACUUCAUUUUUUUUAACCUGAUGAUUAUCAUUGAAGUGUACAUAUAAUUUUUAGUCAUCAGAUAUCAUCUAUAUGUCACAUUCAUAUUUUUGAAAAUGUUUUAGAGUGUACUAAAAGGGACGUAGAUGUUUUAUGCAUGAGGUAUUAUGAUAUUUGAUAACCAUCUGUUAUAAAGGUAUUUGAAGAAGUGUAAGUUUUGUUUUGUACGUAGUACUUUAAUAUACAUGCGCUUUCAGUACAUACAGAAAUAAAUCUACGUUGAAUGUACAUGCAGUACAUUUCAUGAAAAAAGCAAUGUAUAUUCAUAAAUAAAUGCAUCUUGGAUAAUUGCAUUGCUGUUUAAAGAAUCUGAAUAAUGCUAUGCAUUAACUGAAAAUCUUUUAAAUUUACAUGUAAAACUUCCAUUUCAUAGAAUAUAUCUGUGUAUUUAUACAUAUGUCAGUGUUUAUCAUAAGGAUUUUAUUGUGCAAAUUUUCUAUAGUAAUAUUUCCAGUCAAUGCUUUGAAUCAUUCAUUGAUUAAUGUUUGAUAUUUUGAUAUAAGGAAAACCUGUUUAGAUUUAAGGAAUAACUUCAGGUUUAAGGUUGGGUAGGGAUGGUCAGUUCAUUGGAACAUUUGGUCAUUCGUGCACAAAUGCUGACAGUUAUUCCUAAUAUUCAAGUUUUGAGUAAUUAUGUGAAGUAAUUUUGAACCAUAAUAAAUACUAUUAAUUGUUA